CUGGGACUAAAGGCAUGUGCACCAC
rnacentral:piRNA from 1 species